GCAACUCGCCUACACGAAGCUGGAAUCGCUAGUAAUCGCGGAUCAGCACGCCGCGGUGAAUACGUUCCCGGGCCUUGUACACACCGCCCGUCACACCAUGAGAGUCUGUAACACCCAAAGCCGGUGGGAUAACCUUUAUAGGAGUCAGCCGUCUAAGGUAGGACAGAUGAUUAGGGUGAAGUCGUAACAAGGUAAC
rnacentral:rRNA from 1 species